rnacentral:rRNA from 1 species
UACGUAGGAGACGAGCGUUGUCCGGAGUUACUGGGCGUAAAGCGUGCGUAGACGGUCUUGUAAGUCGGGUGUGAAAUCCCCGGGCUCAACCUGGGAAUUGCAUUCGAGACUGCAAGGCUUGGGUGCGGAAGAGGGAAGCGGAAUUUCCGGUGUAGCGGUGAAAUGCGUAGAUAUCGGAAGGAACAUCAGUGGCGAAAGCGGCUUCCUGGUCCAGCACCGACGUUCAGGCACGAAAGCGUGGGGAGCAAACCGG